rnacentral:lncRNA from 1 species
GAAGGAAAAAUGCUUUGGAGUGCUUCUUUUGCCUCUAGAGAAUUCAGACUCAUAGCUGAGUCAGAGGAGUGGUGAGGAGGCAAGGAGACUGGCGAAGGAGGAGAAGGAGGAGCUGAAGCAGUCACACGUGGUUCUGGAAUUUCAGAGCUUUCAGAACUCUUCAGAACUGACACUUCACACUGGCAGUGAAGGAUGCUUCCCAGUUGUUUGCAGAGAGGUGGUGGGCCAUUGCUGUGGAGAAAGAGUCUAUUGCUGGAGAAUUGAUAAAGUCAUCACAGCACAAUGGGCCUCUGACCCUGAUCUGACAAAAGAGAUUGAAAGUGCCUUGUAGCGAGACAAGGACAAUGUGCAGGAUUCAUCAGGCCAUCAAAGGUGGAGUGGAAGAGAUAUAUUUCUGUAUGUGAAUUUAACUGUCCUCUCUCUCUCUCUCUCUCUCUCUCUCUCUCUCUCUCUCUCUCUCUCUCUCUCAGCUUAGGGCUGCCAAUCAGACAUUCAGGCAUAGUGUGUUUAAUAACUAAAUAAAUGAUGAAAGGGUGGUCA